GCCUUCGUGGCACAAUUGGUUAGCGCGUGGGCCUUUUAAGCUAGUACCUAGCAUUGAAAGCCCAAGGUUGUGGGUUCGAGACCCACCGAAGGCG